rnacentral:rRNA from 1 species
UACGGAGGGUGCGAGCGUUGUCCGGAAUCACUGGGCGUAAAGGGCGCGUAGGCGGCCUGAUAAGUAGGGGUGAAAUCCUGUGGCUUAACCGCAGGGCUGCCUUCUAAACUGUCGGGCUAGAGCACAGUAGAGGCAGGUGGAAUUCCCGGUGUAGCGGUGGAAUGCGUAGAGAUCGGGAAGAACAUCAGUGGCGAAGGCGGCCUGCUGGGCUGUUGCUGACGCUGAGGCGCGACAGCGUGGGGAGCAACAGG